AUCUAGAUCGAAGGAGCUCCCAAUCCUGGCUUCGCACCUCGCUCCCCAAUCCCCGUCCCUCUUUUCCUCACCCAAUCCUCGAUGACCCCUCUCCUCCUCCCAAUGGUGGCGCGCCGCCUGUGGCAGGCCGGAGGAGGCGACGCGGACGGGUGGCGGUGCGCGGUGCGCCUUCCUCCUCGUUUGCUGGCCGGUUCAAAGGAGGGGGUGGAGGCAUCACCAUGGAAAGGGUCGUCCCCAAUCCGCGGCGCCGGAGAAGGAGCCAGCCCGAGCGAUGGAGGUGCCUGCAGCAGUCAGCACGGCUUGGGCACGGCCGGAGUCGGUCCGGCGCGUGGCGGAUCCGCGGCGGCGACCGCAGGCGCCGGGCGCGGCCGGAGACGGGCUGGCGUGGGGCGGAUCCGCGGCGGCGGCGACGGGAGGCGCCAGGCGCGGCCGGAGACGGUCCGGCGAGUGGCGGAUCCGCGGCGGCGGCGACCGGGAGCACCGGGCGCGGCCGGAGACGGGCCGGCGCGGGGCGGAUCAACGAGAUGCAGCAGAUCUUUGCAACUGCAGUUUUAUGAUUCAUAUUUUCGGGAACUGAAAGUUUCCUCAUGACCUCAAGGGUAUUGUUGCAGCAACCGCGAGCUGGCUAUGUGCGACUCAGCUCAGUCAGCUGGGAAGCGAUGCCAGAAAUAGUCCAGGCCCCUUGCGUUGGUGGUGGAUGCCUGCAUGGAAGUUGCUCAUGAUGUGUGGAACCACAGCUCCGUUAAUCACUAGCGUUUCUUGUUGGAUUUACGUUGAGGAAAAGCUUACGGUUCUCAUGACUACUGCGUAUAUACACGAGCAUGCUUGUUUUUAGCGAGUCUAAAAGAAAUAGUAGGGUUAAAUAGUAAUGUUCUUAUGUAAUGUAUUCCUAAUUUCCUUAAGAAGUAGUGAAGGGCACUGGUCGGUGCUGCUAAACCCCCUCCUCUUUCUAGAUCCCCAUGAUUUGUACUCCUUUAUUUUGAUUUGAGAUGAAAAAUUUUAUCGGUGCUGCUGCUUCCGGGUUUGUGCAGGAUUGGAUACAACAUGGUCAUUUAUGUGGUGGAGAGGGAGUCCUAGAGGUCAUCGUCAACCAAAGAUUGCUAAUGCUAUUGCUUUCUUUCCUGAGGCAAAUGAGGUUACUAUUGCAAGACAUACAACCUUUGAGGAUGUUCACGAAGGGGAUUAUCUAACAAAACCAUCCUUAUUCAAAGAUUCCGGUGUUACAACAAAGGUCAAAAUGGCAGCCCACCUACAAUGUCAAUGGUGUGCUUUUCUGGUCUUUAGAGUUUAAUCUAUCCUCCCCUUAUUACGUUUUUCAGUCACAAUUCAGUUUGUUGCUAUAUUAUUGUGCCAUUGUUUAUAUUUGUAAGUGGAUGUAUCCCUUUGUUAGAGCUCAUGCUCCAUUGAUUACCUUUAAUGGGGAGCUAGAAACUCUUAUCCUGUAAUUCCAUGUUUGUAGAUUUGUCAAUUGAUUAGACUUCUAUAUUUGGACGUUGCAAGAGGGAUUAUUUUCCUUUCGUAGUAUUGUUCGACUCAUAUCUUUUUAUUUUAUAUUUUUCAGCAUUUUGUGCUUAAUCUUUGUCAUUUUUGGAUCUUGGUAAGGUUUGGAGCGUAUCAAACCUUUGCAUUUAUGGUAACCCUUUUAAUUACUAAAAAUAAUGGAGUUUUCCCUUCUGUGAGUUUCUAUUUUUAUUUCCCCGGAUGUCGAGUUAGUUUUGGUGAGGCCGGUUCAGGCCCGAUCCAUUGCCUCCUUCAUGCUCCAGACCAAGCUCUCCAUCAAGCCAAGUGGCGGGUGAAGCUGGAGCCAGAGCGCAUGCCAAGUGACGGCGACAGCCGGACGCGGCAGCGGCGGUAGGCAGCGUGCGCCAAAUGACGGGGCGGAUGGAUGCCGCAGCAGCGGCUUCCCCUCCCCCUUCUCUUCAUCUCUCUAAUGGGUAUUAUAAAAAGCACCAGGUCCUGAGCAAAGUGGAGAUUUCAGGCUUGAAGAUGUUGCUGCGUUCAGUAGUUCAUAGAAAUAUCAGAGCUUAUACCUGGAUAAAGGUAUGAAGAAUCUGAUGGCAAUUGAUCCCCCGUUGAAUAUAACUGUCACAGUUUCCCCUGUGUGGAAAAUUAACGACUACAGGUCCAUUUUUGGCUGAGAUUUUGGUUUUGAAAGUGGGAUGUACCUAGCUUGGCAUGUACAUCUUGACAUGGCUGUUUAUCCCAGGCUCCAGGUGACACAAUAGGGAUUUGUGCCAAUUAUCAUCGGUCAUCAUAGUGUGAUGCAAACUUGUGUCUCUACACCACUAAUCUAAUCAGGCUACGACCAUGAUUUCAAAAAUUAGUUUGCUGGCUGACUGAAAAUAAUGUUUGUUGCGUGGUAGUACUUGAUUGCCACUUG